rnacentral:rRNA from 1 species
CCUACGGGAGGCAGCAGUGGGGAAUAUUGCACAAUGGGGGAAACCCUGAUGCAGCGAUGCCGCGUGAGUGAAGAAGGACUUCGGGAUGUAAAGUACUAUCAGCAGGGAAGAAAAUGACGGUAUCUGAUUAAGAAGCCCCGGCUAACUACGUCCCAGCAGCCGCGGUAAUACGUAGGGGGAAAACGUGAUCCGGAUUUACUGGGGGUAAAGGGAGCGUAGACGGCAGGACAAGUCUGGAGUGAAAUCCCGGGGCUCAACCCCGGAACUGCUUUGGAUACUGUGCAGCUAGAGUGCAGUAGAGGGGAGUGGAAUUCCAGGUGUAGCGGUGAAAUGCGUAGAUAUCAGGAGGAACACCAGUGGCGAAGGCGGCUUACUGGACGGUGACUGACGUUGAGGCUCGAAAGCGUGGGGAGCAAACAGGAUUAGAUACCCUAGUAGUC